rnacentral:lncRNA from 1 species
UUAUCAAUUGUUUGAAAAACUGUCUUUUGGAAAUUAUUACUGUUGCAUGGGUCCCAUCAAUCACAGAAAAAAAAAACAGAAAUAAAAUUCACUGAAUAGCAGAUGGGUAAAAAUUAUCAAGUUUAGUAGAUAUAAAAUGACUUAAAUUCGAAAGUACACAAGUCAGUGAUUUUAUCAAAAAGACGCAAACCAGGGAGAAGCCACAGGCUGAACUGUGGGAAAUGUUUCAUUCUUGCGACCACAAAAUGAAAGCAAGUCAAUAUCAGUGUUCACGUGUGAUCAAGUAAAGAAGCUCCAACAAGGUCUGAACAACCCCUGGCCCACUAAAGCUUCCCUCAGAAAGCAGGAUGCUUCUCCCCUGCUGGUGAGAUAAUGAAAAAAUGAAAAAAUAAUGAUAAAAAAAUGAAAGGAGAAUCGCUUGAACCCAGGAGGCGGAGGUUGCAGUGAGCCGAAAUCAUGCCGUUGCACUCCAGCCUGGGCAACAAGAGCAAGACUCCAUCUUAAAAAAACAGCCACCAAAAAAAAAAAAAAAAACAGGUGCUGGUGAGGUUGUGGCAAAAAAGGAACCCUUUUACACUGUUGGUGAGAGUGUAAAUUAGUUCAACUGUUGUAGAAGACAGUGUGACGAUUCCUCAAAAACCUAGAGGCAGAAAUACCAUUUGACCUAGCAAUCCCAUUACUGGGUAUAUACCCAAAUGAAUGUAAAUCAUUCUGUCAUAAAGAUACAUGCACAUGUAUGU